UACAGAGGUCUCAAGCGUUGUUCGGAUUCAUUGGGCGUAAAGGGUGCGUAGGUGGCGCUGUAAGUCAGGUGUGAAAUUUCGGAGCUUAACUCCGAAACUGCAUUUGAUACUGCGGUGCUUGAGGACUGGAGAGGAGACUGGAAUUCACGGUGUAGCAGUGAAAUGCGUAGAUAUCGUGAGGAAGACCAGUGGCGAAGGCGGGUCUCUGGACAGUUCCUGACACUGAGGCACGAAGGCCAGGGGAGCAAACAGG
rnacentral:rRNA from 1 species